GACAGGUAAAUGACAACACUUGUCAAUUGGUUAUUUGCUGCAGAAGAAGAAGCAAGAGGCAGGAGAGAAGCAUGACAUCUUGUCUUCUGGCUUGAAUAUUUUGUACCUUUAUGAAGUGAGGACCACAGAGAGAUCAAGGAUCAAGGAGGGAAAGAAAUGAUGUGUCUCUGCCUAAGAUGUGAGACAAUUAAGAGUGAUAUCAGGCUGGUAGGAAUAGAAUUUCACCUGAGAGAACUGCUAUGGGAAAAUCACUUCACCAGGAAAGGCUGAACAUUCAUCACAAUAAUCCUCAAAAUCGGAGACCCAAGCUUCCUCCUUCACCUAUUAGGAAAGAGACGGUUUAGCUGACCUUGGAAAUGUCUG
rnacentral:lncRNA from 1 species